AUGGCAACCCUAUGGCAGGCCUAUGUUAACCCUAUGGCAGGCCUACGGCAACACUACGGCAGGCCGAUGGCAACCCAAUGGCAGGCCUAUGGCAGCCCUACGACAGGUAUAUGGCAACCCAACGGCAGGCCUAUCGCAGCCCUAUGGCAGGCCUACGACAGGUAUAUGGCAACCCAAUGGCAGGCCAUGGCGGCUAUGGAACCCUAUGGCAGCCUAUGCAGGCCUAUCGCAGCCCUAUGGCAGGCCUAUGGCAACCCAUGGCAGGCUAGGGGCAGCCCUAUGGCGGCCUAUGGCACCCUAUGGCAGGCCCUAUGGCACCCUAUGGCAGGCCUAUGGCAACCCUAUGGCAGGCCUAUGGCAACCCUAAUUGGCAGCCCAUGGCAGGCCUAUCGCAGCCCUAUGGCAGGCCUAUCGCAGCCCAUGGAACCCUAUGGCAGCCCUAUGGCAGGCCUAUGGCAGGCCUAUGGCAACCCUAUGGCAGCCCUAUGGCAGGCCUAUCGCAGGCCUAUGGCAACCCUAUGGCAGCCUAUGGCAACCCUAUGGCAGGCCUAUGGCAACCCUAUGGCAGGCCUAUGGCAACCCUAUGGCAGGCCUAUGGCAGCCCUAUGGCAGGCCUAUCGCAGCCCUAUGGCAACCCUAUGGCAGCCCUAUGGCAAACCCUAG
rnacentral:lncRNA from 1 species